rnacentral:tRNA from 1 species
GCCUGGAUAGUAUAGUGGCCUAGUAUGUCGCCCUGUCACGGCGAUGACCGGGGUUCAAAUCCCCGUCCGGGCGCCA